UACGAAGGGUGCAAGCGUUACUCGGAAUUCCUGGGCGUAAAGCGUGCGUAGGUGGUGAGUUAAGUCUGUCGUGAAAGCCCCGGGCUCAACCUGGGAAUGGCGAUGGAUACUGGCUCGCUAGAGUGCGGAAGAGGCGAGUGGAAUUCCUGGUGUAGCGGUGAAUGCGCAGAUAUCAGGAGGAACACCAAUUGCGAAGGCAGCUCGCUGGGACGUAACUGACGCUGAGACGCGAAAGCGUGGGGAGCAAACAGG
rnacentral:rRNA from 1 species